rnacentral:rRNA from 1 species
UAUUGGACAAUGGGUGGAAGCCUGAUCCAGCCAUGCCGCGUGCAGGAAGAAGGCCUUCUGGGUUGUAAACUGCUUUUGCCAGGGGAUAAAAAGCUCAUGCGUGAGAAAUUGAAGGUACCUGGUGAAUAAGCCACGGCUAACUACGUGCCAGCAGCCGCGGUAAUACGUAGGUGGCAAGCGUUGUCCGGAUUUAUUGGGUUUAAAGGGUGCGUAGGCGGCCUAUUAAGUCAGUGCUGAAAUAUCCCGGCUUAACCGGGAGGGUGGCAUUGAUACUGAUGGGCUUGAGUGAAGUCGAGGUAGGCGGAAUUGACGGUGUAGCGGUGAAAUGCUUAGAUAUCGUCAAGAACACCGAUAGUGUAGGCAGCUUACUAGGCUUAUACUGACGCUGAGGCACGAAAGUGUGGGGAUCAAAC